UACGUAGGGUGCGAGCGUUGUCCGGAAUUAUUGGGCGUAAAGGGCUCGUAGGCGGUUUGUCGCGUCGGGAGUGAAAACACUGGGCUUAACUCAGUGCUUGCUUCCGAUACGGGCAGACUAGAGGUAUGCAGGGGAGAACGGAAUUCCUGGUGUAGCGGUGAAAUGCGCAGAUAUCAGGAGGAACACCGGUGGCGAAGGCGGUUCUCUGGGCAUUACCUGACGCUGAGGAGCGAAAGCGUGGGUAGCAAACAGG
rnacentral:rRNA from 1 species